AUGAGGACUGACCAGAAACAGGAGGCUCCAUGGAGUCUCUUGAGUGUUGCACAAGGGCAGAUUCCUGUGCAUGCUUCUGAGAUCAGUGUCUGUCAUCCACAUCUGUUUCCCUCUGCACAUCUGUGUUGCAGGUUCUCACCAGAAAAUACAGAGCUUCUUACAACUCUAGGAUUACUCUACUUACAGCUUGGCAUUUACCAGAAGGCAUUUGAACAUCUUGGGAAUGCACUGACUUAUGACCCUACCAACUAUAAGGCCAUCUUGGCAGCAGGCAGCAUGAUGCAGACCCACGGGGACUUUGAUGUUGCCCUCACCAAAUACAGAGUUGUAGCUUGUGCUGUUCCAGAAAGUCCCCCACUGUGGAAUAAUAUUGGAAUGUGUUUCUUUGGCAAGAAGAAAUAUGUGGCAGCUAUCAGCUACCUGAAACGAGCCAACUACUUGGCACCCUUCGACUGGAAGAUUCUGUACAAUUUGGGCCUCGUCCAUCUGACCAUGCAGCAGUAUGCAUCAGCUUUUCAUUUUCUCAGUGCAGCCAUCAACUUCCAGCCAAAGAUGGGGGAGCUUUACAUGCUCUUAGCUGUGGCUCUGACAAACCUAGAAGAUGUAGAGAAUGCCAAGAGGGCCUACACAGAAGUAGUCCGCCUGGAUAAGGUGAAAAGGGUGCCCUGGCCCAGUAUCAGGAGAUGGAGAAGAAAGUCAGCCUGCUUAAGGACAGUAGCUCUCUGGAACUUGACUCUGAGAUGGUGGAGAUGGCUCAGAAAUUGGGAGCUGCACUUCAGGUUGGGGAGGCGCUCAUCUGGACUAAACCAGUUAAAGAUUGCAAAUCAAAGCACCGGACUACUUCAACCAGCAAACCUACCAGCAUCCAGCAGCCUCUGGGCUCUAAUCAGACUCUAGGACAGGCAAUGUCUUCAGCAGCUGCAUACAGGAAGCUCUCCUCAGGUGUCGGAGGAACGUCCCAGCUCUCAAAGCCACCAUCUCUUCCUCUGGAGCCCAGAGCCUGUUGUGGAAGCAAGUCCAGCUGAAACAUCAGAACAAAUAAGAGAAAAAUAAGAGUAGGCUGACCCCAGAGUAGGGGUUUCUUGGAUGAAGAUGUUCCAGACUGGGGAAGGUCACAUGACAUAGAGCGGAGGACACCACUGUCACCACUAUUCCCUGGCAGGCACCACAGAAUUAAAACACAGACUGCUGAGUGUGUUGCGAUGGUCACGAGAAGCCCAAGGUGCUUCCUACCUACCUGGUAGUAGCGUUUGAGGUAGCAGCCCCUCUAUUAGACCCAUAAGCCAGGAAAUAGGGAGAAGUCAGCAUGGACCAUUCCUUUCAGAAGUGGGAGCGAGGCUUUUGAGGCUCUGUGUAGGUAACUGCAAGUCAGCAAGGCAUAUGAUGCUGUUUCCUUUGAAAGGAAACUUUUAUCUCCUGGCUGACUGACACCUUCCUUUGAGCAAGAAAAGACAGAAAGACCUCUGCUCAGUAGCCCUGUGAUGGCGAAGGCUUGGCUUGACUGGGAUAGUCCCCAAGGCAAACACAAAUCUUGAAAAAAGGCUAAGUUGAGGCCCAGCCUGGUGUGUAUUCAGCUACAUUUGCCCAAAGGGAAUCCAGAACAAGCCCUGAAUUUUGUUCUUGAGAGAGGUCAGAGUCUAGAAGCCAGAUCAUGUGAGUAUGAGAAGAAGUAGGAGCCGAGGGCUGGUCUAGUAUCAGCACCAAGAUCUAAAAUAAAGGGAAGAGCUCUUUAGCCGAAUAAGACAAUGAGUGAUAACCACCGACCAGAUGGUAUUAACGCAUUAUCUGAAUGUCUUUUUAAGAAUAAAGAUUAUGUAUUAUCAUUCUUAUGGGGAAAGUUGUUAUUCAGGUAU